GACGAACGCUGGCGGCGUGCUUAACACAUGCAAGUCGAGCGGUAAGGCUCCUUCGGGAGUACACGAGCGGCGAACGGGUGAGUAACACGUGAGCAAUCUGCCCUCCACAUCGGGAUAACCCCGGGAAACUGGGGCUAAUACCGGAUACGACCACCGAUGGCAUCAUCUGGUGGUGGAAAGUUCCGGCGGUGGAGGAUGAGCUCGGGGCCUAUCAGCUUGGUGGUGAGGUAACGGCUCACCAAGGCAACGACGGGUAGCCGGCCUGAGAGGGUGACCGGCCACACUGGGACUGAGACACGGCCCAGACUCCUACGGGAGGCAGCAGUGGGGAAUAUUGGACAAUGGGCGAAAGCCUGAUCCAGCAACGCCGCGUGAGGGAUGACGGCCUUCGGGUUGUAAACCUCUUUCGGCGGGGACGAAGCGCGAGUGACGGUACCCGCAGAAGAAGCUCCGGCCAACUACGUGCCAGCAGCCGCAGUAA
rnacentral:rRNA from 1 species